rnacentral:rRNA from 1 species
AGAUUGAACGCUGGCGGCAUGCUUUACACAUGCAAGUCGAACGGCAGCGCGGGGCAACCUGGCGGCGAGUGGCGAACGGGUGAGUAAUAUAUCGGAACGUACCCAAGAGUGGGGGAUAACGUAGCGAAAGUUACGCUAAUACCGCAUACGAUCUAAGGAUGAAAGCAGGGGACCGCAAGGCCUUGUGCUCCUGGAGCGGCCGAUAUCUGAUUAGCUAGUUGGUAGGUAAAGGCCUACCAAGGCUACGAUCAGUAGCUGGUCUGAGAGGACGACCAGCCACACUGGAACUGAGACACGGUCCAGCUACCUACGGGAGGCAGCAGGUGGGAAUUUGGACAAGUGGGCGCAAGCCUGAUCCAGCAAUGCCGCGUGAGUGAAGAGGCCUUGGUUGUAAGUCUCUUUGUCAGGAAGAACGGUGGGCGUAAU